UAAGAGUUCAGGUACUCAGAAGGGGGUGGAAGUACCUGAAGCUGAAACUAAAGAUGAUGAUGCCAAAAGCAAUGAUGAAAAUGUCGAUGAUGAAGAAGUUGAGAUUGAUGCAAAGAUCAUUGAUGAUUCAGUUAAGGCAGCAUGCAAUGUGGGAAUGACAUUGACACAGGAAACUAUCUUGAAGUUUCCAGAGUUUUUUGAAGCUUCGAAUGCAGGGUUCAAUACAAAUGAUUCAGAGAAUCCAGCUUCAAACGUUGUUAUAGAUGUGACGGAUGGGGAGAAGCCUACAGAAUGUGUCUCAAACGUUGUUAUAGAUGCAACUCCACUAAAGUCAGUGAUGCCAGAUGAAAUAAUUGAC